GAUGAACGCUGGCGGCGUGCCUAAUACAUGCAAGUCGAGCGAACAGACGAGGAGCUUGCUCCUCUGACGUUAGCGGCGGACGGGUGAGUAACACGUGGAUAACCUACCUAUAAGACUGGGAUAACUUCGGGAAACCGGAGCUAAUACCGGAGAAUAUAUUGAACCGCAUGGUUCAAUAGUGAAAUACGGUUGUUCUGGCUCUUAUAGAUGGAUCCGCGCCGCAUUAGCUAGUUGGUAAGGUAACGGCUUACCAAGGCAACGAGGCGUAGCCGACCUGAGAGGCUGAUCGGCCACCCUGGAAGUGAGCCACGGUCCAGAGUACUAAGGGACGCAGCAGUCGGGAAUCUUACGCAGUGGGGGAGAGCAUGACGGAGCAACGGCGCGCGAGAGAUGAAGGUCUUCGGAUCGUAAAACUCUGUUAUUAGGGAAGAACAAAUGUCUAAGGAAAUAUGCCCGUAUUGACGGUACCUGAUAAGAAAGCAACGGCUAACUACGUG
rnacentral:rRNA from 1 species